rnacentral:rRNA from 1 species
AGUGAACGCUGGCGGUAGGCCUAACACAUGCAAGUCGAACGGCAGCACAGUAAGAGCUUGCUCUUACGGGUGGCGAGUGGCGGACGGGUGAGGAAUACAUCGGAAUCUACUUUUUCGUGGGGGAUAACGUAGGGAAACUUACGCUAAUACCGCAUACGACCUACGGGUGAAAGCAGGGGAUCUUCGGACCUUGCGCGAUUGAAUGAGCCGAUGUCGGAUUAGCUAGUUGGCGGGGUAAAGGCCCACCAAGGCGACGAUCCGUAGCUGGUCUGAGAGGAUGAUCAGCCACACUGGAACUGAGACACUGUCCAGACUCCUACGGGAGGCAGCAGUGGAGAAUAUUGGACAAUGGGCGCAAGCCUGAUCCAGCCAUACCGCGUGGGUGAAGAAGGCCUUCGGGUUGUAAAGCCCUUUUGUUGGGAAAGAAAAGCAGCAGGUUAAUACCCCGCUGUUCUGACGGUACCCAAAGAAUAAGCACCGGCUAACUUCGU